ACAAGAAUGGCCUAACAGAUAACAGUAAUUCGCAAACAUAUUGAAUAUACACAAUUAUAUUCGUGAGCCGUAAUAUUCCAAAUGUACCCUUUUACCUAGAUAUUGGAACUGCUGAGCCCUUCAUGGCACUUGAAGGUUGUUGAGCGGAUAUCACCGAAGCAAUGCAUCCCACACAGGUACCUCACAGAAUACUAAAAUUAUACAAAUUUAUCGCCAUGUUUCUCCUGCGAUCACUGACAAGCCGUUCGAAGCGAGCCUCCACUAGCGGUUUACACUCAAUGCGAUAAUACUCGUGAGAGCUCAACAACUCCCCACGAAACAGAGUACAUCAGCAAGGGCGAAAGCUUUCGUUGUACAUAUCAAACAACUAAAAUGUAAAACAAAGUAUAGUCAAAAGUUAGAAAUCGAGUUUUAUUGAUUCAAGUAUAAGUUUCAGUUAGCAGACGCACCCAAGUUAUGGCAAUAAUUCAAAUAUUUUCAAUAUAUUUUAUAUCGUUUUUUUCUUCUUCUGAAAACUUGUGAAAAAUGAUGUUACGUUAUUUCCCAUUUUAGUUGAUGAAAUUUACGAAUCUCCUAUCAUCUACAUAUGGUUUUCUCUUUUUCUAAUUUAAACUCUUUGCAAUACAUUGAUUAUUCCCUUAUUCCGGAACAGAAAAUGCUGAUAACCAUAACUGAUUUGUAAAUAUCGGAAGAAACGAAUAAAUGCUAACUUAAGGAAUUGCGGUUGAUAAACUAACAUAUUGGAUGGAAUUGUGGAAGAAAAAGCAGAGUAAAGUAUGUAGAAAAGGUGUGAAGUGGAAGUGCAGAAAAUGCAAGACUGACAAGGGCUUGCGUGCUUCAACAAUUAGACUAUUUUUUUUUUAUGAUUGAAGAGGUUAGCAUUGCAGUUUUCUCUUCUUCAACCACAAUGUUAUUAUUCAUUUACGCCUUGGGCCGAGGUUUAACCCUCCACUAGCGGAAAUCUCAUAAGUAAGCACGAUAAGUUCUUUAAUUUCUUUCUUAAUCAACCAUUGCUUUGAAUUGAGUCGGUUCAAAAUAUUAAAACUACUAUUAUUUAAAUUAUUUCAAAAUUCAAUAUUUUUAUUUUUGAAGACAAUCUAAUUCAAAUAAAUUUUAUUUGAAUUGUAUGUAUAAAUGUAUGUGGUUAAAAUACGGUGAUGACACACAUUGAAAUGUAUGUGUUUCAUAGGCAAUAGUUAUUUAAAAAAAUUGUUAACAAUACAUAUGUAGUUGUGUGUAAUGAAGAAAAUGUGUGAUAUUAUUUCAAAUACUACAAAGUUGACGUUGCAAUAAAAUAAGGUAUUUCAUUAAUUAAUUAAACAAAAAAUUGUAAAAAUUUUUAUUGUAUUUUUUAGCGGUGCUUCUUGAAAUACCGCAAUGAAAUAUGCUAGUAAUUUUUACCAAAAAAUACUACAUUGUUCACAUGGUAAAGCGCAAGUAUUUGCUGACACAUAUCUGGUAUUCGUUCGUAGUUCGCAUUAGUAUUACGAAAUGUCCGUCACAGGCGUUAGAAGAAAAAGUUUUUCAUAGCUUCUGAAAAAUUUAAUCUAAUAUUUUUAUGAUUUUCUAAAUAGACUAAUAAUAAUAAUAUGUCUGGCAAAUCAGGGUUAAAAGCAAAAAAGCAUCUGUGCACUGUACGCUUUGUUAAGUUUGCUUUACAAUUUUCGAAAAUAUUUCAUAUACAUUCUUUCUCACUCUCCCUCUCUCAGCUAUGCCAUUUUUUUGCCAUACAAAUCAAUAUGCUCUUAUAUAUAUAUGUACAUAUUUGAGUAUUCGCACUUAGUUUAAUGUAUCUCAAAGUAGGAAAUUGAAACGCAACAAGUUUGCAAGUUUUGUACGCUCAUACAUCAUAUCCAUGGAUAUACAGCUGCGUUCAUAAUAAUGGAACUACGAGUAAAUGAUGCAAUGAUUUUUGGCAAUUAGCUCGUCUUUCUAUCCUUUUAUAUCAAAAACUUCGAUUGGCGUGAUAACGAAACCCAAACGAAUUACAACUUGUUCUCUAUACCGUUACAUAAAGCUGAAAGCAAAAUUUUAGGUGAAAUUUCAUUAAAACAUCUCCAUGAUGCUCUUCCAUUAACAUGAACACAACCGUUAGCAUGGAUGGGGUAAUGUAUGAAUGUAUAUCUACAGAUACCCAGUCGAACCUUGCAGAAUGCGGUUUCCAAAAAAUACCUUUUAAGGUACUGCCGGCAUAAUAAGGAAUACACAUUAGGAAAUUAACGCAGCGAUUGAAGGUUGUGUAGAGACCAAACGACAAUUAAAAUUGCUUAGCUCUGCUCUGCUUAGAAGGUGAAGAAUAUCCCAUGGGUAGAGAAUGAAGUGGUCGCCGCUUUCUGGAUUCCGAAUGAAGCAAUCUCUACUGAUUACUUGGAGAAGCGCAAUACGGUCACAGGACUCUUUGCCGAAUAAUUGGCCGAUUCGACUACGAACGGACCCAUUUGGAAAAAGUAAAAAAGAUAAUGUAAGAUCAUGACAACACAGCGGCUCACACCUUCGCGUGCUAUUGUGAAAGCGAUCUAUAUUGAGAAUUAAAUUGUAAUUUUUCCAAAACCUUCGUAUGCUAAAUAUGUAUAGUAGUAUGUAUCCAACCGUCCAGGCAUGCGGUUCAUACACUUCAUAACUAUGAUAAUAACUACAAACC